rnacentral:rRNA from 1 species
UACGUAGGGUGCGAGCGUUGCCCGGAUUUAUUGGGCGUAAAGGGCGCGUAGGCGGCUCUGCACGUCCGUUGUGAAAUCGCCCGGCUCAACCUGGGAACUGCAUUUGUGACUGUAGAGCUGGAGUACGGCAGAGGGGGAUGGAAUUCCGCGUGUAGCAGUGAAAUGCGUAGAUAUGCGGAGGAACACCGAUGGCGAAGGCAAUCCCCUGGGCCUGUACUGACGCUCAUGCACGAAAGCGUGGGGAGCAAACAGG